rnacentral:rRNA from 1 species
GACGAACGCUGGCGGCGUGCCUAACACAUGCAAGUCGAGCGAGUGGAUCUCCUUCGGGAGUGAAGCUAGCGGCGGACGGGAGAGUAACACGUGGGCAACCUGCCUCAUAGAGGGAAUAGCCUUUCGAAAGGAAGAUUAAUACCGCAUAAGAUUGUAGCUUCGCAUGAAGUAGCAAUUAAAGGAGCAAUCCGCUAUGAGAUGGGCCCGCGGCGCAUUAGCUAGUUGGUGAGGUAACGGCUCGACCAAGGCGACGAUGCGUAGCCGACCUGAGAGGGUGAUCGGCCACAUUGGGACUGAGACACGGCCCAGACUCCUACGGGAGGCAGCAGUGGGGAAUAUUGCACAAUGGGGGAAACCCUGAUGCAGCAACGCCGCGUGAGUGAUGACGGCC